GCGAUCAUAGCUCAGCUGGUUAGAGUGCCGGAUUGUGGUUCCGAAGGUCGUGGGUUCGAAUCCCAUUGGUCGCC
rnacentral:tRNA from 1 species